rfam:Felis catus isolate Cinnamon breed Abyssinian chromosome A2, whole genome shotgun sequence.
GCCUGAGUGGCUCAUUCGGUUGAGUGUCCGACUUCGGCUCAGGUCAUGAUCUCGCAGUUCGUGGGUUCGAGCCCCGCGUCGGGCU